rnacentral:sRNA from 1 species
UACUGAAGGAAAUGCAGCUAAUAUUGGU